UGGGGAAUAUUGGGCAAUGGGGGAAACCCUGACCCAGCAACGCCGCGUGAAGGAAGAAGGCCUUCGGGUUGUAAACUUCUUUUAGCAGGGACGAAGGACGUGACGGUACCUGCAGAAAAAGCAACGGCUAACUACGUGCCAGCAGCCGCGGUAAUACGUAGGUUGCGAGCGUUGUCCGGAAUUACUGGGUGUAAAGGGCGUGUAGGCGGAGCUGCAAGUCAGAUGUGAAAUGUCAUGGCUCAACCAUGGAACUGCAUUUGAAACUGUGGCUCUUGAGUAUCGGAGAGGCAAGCGGAAUUCCUAGUGUAGCGGUGAAAUGCGUAGAUAUUAGGAGGAACACCAGUGGCGAAGGCGGCUUGCUGGACGACAACUGACGCUGAGGCGCGAAAGCGUGGGGAGCAAACAGGAUUAGAUACC
rnacentral:rRNA from 1 species